UACGUAGGGAGCAAGCGUUGUCCGGAAUCAUUGGGCGUAAAGCGCGCGUAGGCGGCCCGGUAAGUCCGUUGUGAAAGUCAAAGGCUCAACCUUUGAAUGCCGAUGGAUACUGCCGGGCUAGAGUCCGGAAGAGGCGAGUGGAAUUCCUGGUGUAGCGGUGGAAUGCGCAGAUAUCAGGAGGAACACCAAUAGCGAAGGCAGCUCGCUGGGACGGUACUGACGCUAAGGCGCGAAAGCGUGGGGAGCGAACAGGAUUAGAUACCCCCGUAGUCC
rnacentral:rRNA from 1 species